GAAAUGCGAUAAGUAAUGUGAAUUGCAGAAUUCAGUGAAUCAUCGAAUCUUUGAACGCACAUUGCGCCCCUUGGUAUUCCGAGGGGCAUGCCUGUUCGAGCGUCAUUACAACCCUCAAGCUCUGCUUGGUAUUGGGCUCCGUCCUCACUGCGGACGCGCCUCGAAGACCUCGGCGGUGGCUGUUCGGCCCUCCAGCGUAGUAGAAUACACCUCGCUUUGGAGCGGUCGGCGUCGCCUGCCGGACGAACCUUCUGAACUUUUCUCAAGGUUGACCUCGGAUCAGGUAGGGAUACCCGCUGAACUUAAGC
rnacentral:misc_RNA from 1 species